rnacentral:lncRNA from 1 species
CACUUUCCUUGCAGGUCCCAAUGGCGGCCGUGGUCAUCUCAACUCCAGCUUCUCCGACUUCGGUGGAAUUCUGUACCAACAGAAUUGGCGCUAGAGGAAGAGCACUGUGUCUUCGCAGUAUCCUUGUUCUUAAAGGAGCGCUCAACGGGACUGUCUCCAAUCAUCCUCUCCGACAUCCUCUUCUCCUUCUCCUUCUAGAUCUCCACCUGAUGCCUCUCCGAAAGGCAUCCACCAGGCGACCCAUGGCCUCCACGGC